AAAAUUCCGUUUGGUCGGUUCCGUCAUGUUUAUACAGUAUACCCACCGUACACAAUAUUGGAUUGGUCUUCGAAGAUUGGUCAAAAUCCUCUAAAUGAAUGGCAAUGAAUGAGUUAAAGAAUGAGCAUGAUUUUUAUUUUUAUUUUUUCAAAAUGGCUAAAGAAUUAUUUAAAUUUACAGACAGAUCAACUUUUUUUAACCUCGUCUCCAAUUGACCAGGGUCAUCUGUCACUUAAUAAAAUCAAAUCAAAUCUGGCCCUUGAAAACAAUAGAGUACUUAGUCCAACCCUGUCAUGUGGCUGGGUCCGUGCACGUUUAAUAGUGGCUGUCAAACAAGGAAGUGUAGUCUGGUGUGGCACACUUGGGUGUUAGUUCCUCAUUUCUCGUCUCGCUGUGACGAGAAUGGACAAAGGGGACGCUUGACAGCAAAGGAAUCAUCCAGGUUAAUCACUGCAAGAGAGCUGCAGAUGAGUAACCAGCUCAGUCAGGUAUUUCAUUACAAUUUGAUCAUGCAACCCUAAAAUGUUUCAUUGGGAGCCCAUCUAUGUUUUUUCUUAUUGUUGCCAUAGAUAUAGAUAUAAUGUGUUCACAAAUUGCUCAUAUGGGGAAUGAAACAUGCAUUUGAAUUUAUAAUUUGUGGCCAUGAAAUAAGCAUGAUUUGCACAUGAAACACUAAUGUGUGGGUUUUUAAAGAGGUGUGUCAAACGAGCUGUCGCGGGCGACAUUGUGAUUAUAGUUUCCCUCAGAAGACAUGAUGUGACGUGCAGUUUGUCAAGCAUAAAACCAGUGGCAACAUUUUGUCACCUUUAACUACAA